rnacentral:rRNA from 1 species
UGUUAGAGAUCGAAGGACACCAGCGCGAACGCGGCUCCUGGAGCACACGACGCUGAGGUCGAAAGCGUGGGAGCAAACAGGAUUAGAUACCGUGGUAGUGCACGCCGUAAACGACGUCUAGUAGCCGAUGGGGUCCUUAGUGACUUUCGUGGCUCAGCUAACGCGAUAAGUAGUCCGCCUGGUGAGUACGGCCGCAAGGUAAACCUCAAAUGAAUGACGGGGGCCCGCACAAGCGGCGCGCAUGUGGUAUAAUUCGAUGCAACGCGAAGAUCCUGCCAGGCCUUGACAUCGUGCGAACUCUCUAGAGAUAGAUUGGUGCCUUCGGGAUCGCAGUGACAGGUGCUGCAUGGCUGUCGUCAGCUCGCGUCGUGAGAUGUUGGGUUAAGUCCCGUAACGAGCGCAACCCUCGUCCUUAGUUGCCAGCACUUCGGGUGGGAACUCUAGGGAGACAGCCGGUGACAAACCGGAGGAAGGUGGGGACGACGUCAAGUCAUCAUGGCCCCUACGGCCUGGGCUACACACGUGCUCCAAUGGUUCGUACAGAGGGUCGCGAAGUCGCGAGGCGGAGCUAAUCUCUCAAAGCCAAUCGUAGUCCGGAUUGGAGUCUGCAACUCGCCUCCAUGAAGUCGGAAUCGCUAGUAAUCGCGGAUCAGAAUUCCG